rnacentral:rRNA from 1 species
UACAGAGGGUGCGAGCGUUGUCCGGAAUCACUGGGCGUAAAGGGCGCGUAGGCGGCUUGAUAAGGUUGCGGUGAAAGCCCGGGGCUCAACCCCGGGUCGGCCGUGGCAACUGUCGAGCUGGAGCACUGUAGAGGCAGGUGGAAUUCCGGGUGUAGCGGUGGAAUGCGUAGAGAGUCCGGAAGAACACCGGUGGCGAAGGCGGCCUGCUGGGCAGUGGCUGACGCUGAGGCGCGACAGCGUGGGGAGCAAACAGGAU